AUUUCCGGGUUCGUGUUGGCGCAGCGCCGACCGGCCGGGCGGAAUUCUCGGGCCCGCGCGACCACGGAUGUACUGGCAGGGCGGGCGAGCGAGAUGAAAAAGGUCGGCUUAGCCCGGCCUUUUUUGUU
rnacentral:sRNA from 1 species